rnacentral:rRNA from 1 species
AUGCACGCUGGCGGCGUGCCUAAUACAUGCAAGUCGAGCGAACAGACGAGGAGCUUGCUCCUCUGACGUUAGCGGCGGACGGGUGAGUAACACGUGGAUAACCUACCUAUAAGACUGGGAUAACUUCGGGAAACCGGAGCUAAUACCGGAUAAUAUAUUGAACCGCAUGGUUCAAUAGUGAAAGACGGUUUUGCUGUCACUUAUAGAUGGAUCCGCGCCGCAUUAGCUAGUUGGUAAGGUAACGGCUUACCAAGGCGACGAUGCGUAGCCGACCUGAGAGGGUGAUCGGCCACACUGGAACUGAGACACGGUCCAGACUCCUACGGGAGGCAGCAGUAGGGAAUCUUCCGCAAUGGGCGAAAGCCUGACGGAGCAACGCCGCGUGAGUGAUGAAGGUCUUCGGAUCGUAAAACUCUGUUAUUAGGGAAGAACAAAUGUGUAAGUAACUAUGCACGUCUUGACGGUACCUAUCAGAAAGCCACGGCUAACUACGUG